ensembl:lincRNA Gm45152 predicted gene 45152
CUUUUGGUUCCAUAAGACUAAGAGAACUGAUACAGAUGGCCAUGAACCAGGAACAUGGAUUCAGCUGGAGACAUCGGUAGGCAGGUGCAAAGUGUGUGCAGGAGAUUUCCAUCGGUCUCAGGUGCUAUCUAACGACAUUCUUCUCAGCGUUCAGAUUGGUGGAAGCCAGUGGCCUGAAGAACCAAAUUGCACAGGACCGAAGUGGACUCUGGCAACACCUUGGAGGAAGGGGAAAAAAAAUGCGUGUUUCAAGGUUCCAAGCACAAGGAAUUUUUCCAAUUUAAUUUUCAGCUCUCUCCACAGAUGGUGCCUUAUCUUUCUGUAUCUCCUGCACCCAGCAUAAAAUUGUGUGCUUCAGAAGAACAGCAUACAUAUUUAUAGGAUCAGUUCAAGCUUCUAAGCACAGUAGAUAAAGUGAUGAACAAGACAGAUGACUAUCUGCCCUUGUGGUCCAUACACGCAGCUGGGAAGACCUGGUAAACAAAAGUCACAGAGGGGUACGUACAGCCUCUCC